rnacentral:rRNA from 1 species
GACGAACGCUGGCGGCGUGCUUAACACAUGCAAGUCGAACGGAAAGGCCCCUUUUGGGGUACUCGAGUGGCGAACGGGUGAGUAACACGUGAGUAACCUGCCCUUGACUUCGGGAUAACCUCAGGAAACUGGGGCUAAUACCGGCUAGGAAUCCUUGCUGCAUGGUGGGGGUUGGUAAGCUUCGGCGGUUUUGGAUGGACUCGCGGCUUAUCAGCUUGUUGGUGGGGUAGUGGCUUACCAAGGCUUUGACGGGUAGCCGGCCUGAGAGGGCGACCGGCCACAUUGGGACUGAGAUACGGCCCAGACUCCUACGGGAGGCAGCAGUGGGGAAUAUUGCACAAUGGGCGGAAGGCUGAUGCAGCAACGCCGCGUGCGGGAUGACGGCCUUCGGGUUGUAAACCGCUAUCAGCAGGGGCGAAGCUUGUGGUGACGGUACCUGCAGAAGAAGCACCGGCUAACUACGUG